rnacentral:rRNA from 1 species
UACGUAGGGGCAAGCGUUGUCCGGAAUCAUUGGGCGUAAAGAGCGUGUAGGCGGCCCGGUAAGUCCGCUGUGAAAGUCGGGGCUCAACCUUUGAAAGCCGGUGGAUACUGUGGGGCUAGAGUCCGGAAGAGGCGAGUGGAAUUCCUGGUGUAGCGGUGGAAUGCGCAGAUAUCAGGAGGAACACCAAUAGCGAAGGCAGCUCGCUGGGACGGUACUGACGCUAAGGCGCGAAAGCGUGGGAGCGAACGAGG